GUUUGCUAAGAGAGCUCCUGUGGUUUAGGCUAGGUUUAUAGAAAGUGUCUCAGUGGUCUUGCUGGAUUUCGUGUUGAUUAGACCUCAUCAGGAAUGGUCCGUUCAAGGACAGUUACAGAGAUUCCUGAAGGAUAUCCAGAGGGAGGGGUUUGGAAUAGCUAGUGACCUAGAAACCAUAUCACACGGUUGUAGGAGAAAGAGAUGUUUAAUCCACAGAGAUGAAGAAUUGAGGGAGGGCUCCCGAUGGGUGGUCUUUGAGCGCGGUGUUUUACACAGAAGAUGGAUUGGAUUUCUCUGUGUGGUGUACGAAGGCAAAGCUGGAACCAGUGGGCCCAAGGUUUAGGGACAAGAAUAUCUGCUCACCAUGAGUACUGAGUAUUGACAACGAGGAGUCAGCUUCCUGCGUGGGGGCAGUGGUUUCUCUAUGUGUUUAUACUUAAGGCGCUGAGUUAUUCCAGGAAAGCCAAAAUCCAAGGAGAAAGGCAGCCUUUGGAGAGGGUGUUUUCCAUUGCUAGAGGGGGUUAGGACUAGGCUGAGAGAUUAUUUUUCAGGGAUGUGGUUAUAUCUGAGGGCCGCUGAAGCCCGCCCAUCCUGAAUGUCUGUGAGAUUCUGCAAGGAGAGAGUCUGAGAAAAGGUAAUUGCUAUACUCUGUUUAAGAAGAAUGAGUAAAUGUCCUUGGGUAUAAUUUGUUCCUAUGAUCAUUCUCUCCUAAUUUUGAUCUAGUUAGUGACCAUAAUCCUUCUUUGUAAAUAAACCUUCUUUGACAUUUGCAGUGAACAAUUAUAUUUCUCUAAACACAUACGGAUAUUGUAGCAUUCGAAAGGCUCCUGCAGUUUCGUGCGAGGGUGCUGAGCCUUCCCCCCACCACCCAAACAUUAUCUGACUCUUUGCAGCUACACUCAACUUGGAACAGAGUUUUAAAAGCUGCAUCCUAAGAAUAAAGUUAACUUUACAAAGGAGGAGAGAGUUGGUAAACUACGCAUUUUAUGACAACGGCUUAAGCUCGAGAACAGCAUCCAUCAAGGUUGAAAAGACCUCACCACCUGGCACAAUGAAGUAAUUUUAGAACUCUCUGCUCCAGCAGAGAAGAAGAAAACAACUGUGGGAGUGAGAUUUCUUUCUGACAAGGAAAGAAAAACCAAAGGAGGAAGAAAAAAUAAAACGCUUCUGGGGGAUUAAGAGUACUGAAUAAGUGAGAAAUACUCAGGGAGGCUCAAAAUGAAAUAACAGGAAAUCAUUCCAGGGGCUGAAAAACACUUAGGCCAGGAGAGAGAGUCUCCUCCCUCAGCCUUUCCAGGCUUCUCCCAGAGGGAUGUGUUUUGAGUCCGAAGCUUGUCCGGUUCUGGCGAAGGGUGCCUGCUGGGCGAGUGCAGCGAGGAGACGGCCGCUGGUGUGUGAAGCGGAGGAGCGGCUUUGAUCUUAGGACUGUUGUCUGGAAUGUCCUGAAUUAGGGCUAUUAGUGAUCAUUUCCUCUGAGAAGUCCUAUUUCAGAACGUUCUUCUCUCGAAUUUCCUGGCUACUAACAGCUUCCUCUUCAUGCUGCCUUUAUAGCUUUUUCAAGAGGCUAAAGAAAAGAAUGUGAGGACUCCAGGCUCUUCUUCAUCAGCAUCUUCUAGCUGCUGUUAAUCGUCGUCGCAUCCUGCUAGGCACACGGCUGCUCCCUCAGUUCUCAGAGCACCUGAACGUCACAAAACGCCCGUGUUGACCGAUUCCUAGGAAGAGAAAAGCGUGUUGCCAGGAAGACUUAUUCACGUUCGAGUCUUGCCUCCAAAUGCAGUCUUUGAUUAAAUUUCCUGGGGAAAUGUGUGUAGAGGACCAUCCCGCAGAGACAGACAGAAGGACCACCUGCUGAGACGGACACGGGUUUGUUUUCGGAGCUCCAGCUGAGCGCCCUGCCAGCCUGGGCACGGUGGGGAGGGUUUCCCUCUCGUCUCAGCAGCGAACGUGUCUCCCGGGGACAGUCCGCUCAGUGUCGGGGGACAGGGAGGAAUGCAUCUGCGGGGCUUGAGGGUCUGACGGCUGACGUGCGCAUAGGAGGCGGGCAGCACAAAGCCCAGCGUCUCUGUCCUCCUGCGCGAGGCUGGAACGUGGCGGGGGCAGCUUCCUGUUGAGGCCCCAGAAGCCGUUGCGUUGGGGGACAGUUCAGGAGGAGAAGCCAUCGGAUUGGACCAAGGAGAUCCUGGGUUCUGCCAAAUCUAGCAAGGGGGCAGCUGAGCUGGCGGACGUUUACCUUUAAGUGUGAUGGUACCGGCCCCCAAAUGUUCUGGAGUGACUUGGCCCUGCAGACAUUUCCUGUGCAGGAUGAAGGAGCUGAACCAGAACAUGGACUGAGACAGCAGGCUGCUUCACUCACUCCGCCAGGAAGCAAGGAAACGGAUAUCUGGUCUUGAGCUGAGCAGGGAGAAGGCAUGCUUCCUAUUAACAUGGUUAUUGUUGGUGUCACAGGACAGUCCCAAGGGGCUGUGUCUGUGGUGUGCAUCACUUGCUUUUAACUUUGGAAUAAAUGAUUAUACAUUUCUCCUUGCUCAGUUUCUGUACUUUAAGGUUAUAACUACUUUUUAAGCUCAUAGGUUUUAUAUUUUCCUUAAAACCCGAAUCUGAUCACAUCAUUCCUCUGCUCCAUAAAUUCAACAUUCAAUCACUUAAAUGAGAAUAAAG
ensembl:lncRNA